rnacentral:rRNA from 1 species
UACGUAGGGGGCUAGCGUUGUCCGGAAUCAUUGGGCGUAAAGCGCGUGUAGGCGGUUCGGUAAGUCCGCUGUGAAAGUCGGGGGCUCAACCCUCGGAUGCCGGUGGAUACUGUCGAGCUUGAGUACGGAAGAGGCGAGUGGAAUUCCUGGUGUAGCGGUGAAAUGCGCAGAUAUCAGGAGGAACACCAAUUGCGAAAGCAGCUCUCUGGGACGGUACUGACGCUGAGGCGCGAAAGCGUGGGGAGCGAACAGG